UGGAAGUAAAAAGUCGUAACAAGGUCUCCGUUGGUGAACCAGCGGAGGGAUCAUUACAGAGUUGAAAAACUCCAACCCCUGUGAACCUACCUUUACUGUUGCUUCGGCGGAAGAUGGCCCCCGGGCCGGGCGCCGCCGGAGGUUACAAACCCUGAAUUUUAGUGUAUCUCUGAGCACAAAACCAAAUAAUUAAAACUUUCAACAACGGAUCUCUUGGUUCUGGCAUCGAUGAAGAACGCAGCGAAAUGCGAUAAGUAAUGUGAAUUGCAGAAUUCAGUGAAUCAUCGAAUCUUUGAACGCACAUUGCGCCCGCCGGUAUUCCGGCGGGCAUGCCUGUCCGAGCGUCAUUUCACCACUCAAGCCCAGCUUGGUGUUGGGGCACCCGGCCGCCCCGCGGUCGGGGCCCCCAAGAACAUCGGCGGUCUCGCUGGGACCCUGAACGCAGUAACUCGCGGUAAAACGCGCUUCGUUCGGAGGCUUUCCCGGCGGGCUCCAGCCGCUAAACCCCCUAAACUUUUUAGGUUGACCUCGGAUCAGGUAGGAAUACCCGCUGAACUUAAGCAUAUCAU
rnacentral:rRNA from 1 species